ACCAGGAUGGCCGAGUAGUUAAUGCGUUGGACUUAAGAUCCUAUGGACAAGUGUCCUUGUGGGUUCAAACCCUACUUCUGGAA
rnacentral:tRNA from 1 species